UAGGGAAUCUUCCGCAAUGGACGCAAGUCUGACGGAGCAACGCCGCGUGAGUGAAGAAGGAUUUCGGUUCGUAAAACUCUGUUGUUAGAGAAGAACAGCGCAUAGAGUAACUGUUAUGCGUGUGACGGUAUCUAACCAGAAAGCCACGGCUAACUACGUGCCAGCAGCCGCGGUAAUACGUAGGUGGCAAGCGUUGUCCGGAUUUAUUGGGAGUAAAGCGAGCGCAGGCGGUCAAUUAAGUCUGAUGUGAAAGCCCCCGGCUCAACCGGGGAGGGUCAUUGGAAACUGGUUGACUUGAGUGCAGAAGAGGAGAGUGGAAUUCCAUGUGUAGCGGUGAAAUGCGUAGAUAUAUGGAGGAACACCAGUGGCGAAGGCGACUCUCUGGUCUGUAACUGACGCUGAGGCUCGAAAGCGUGGGUAGCAAACAGG
rnacentral:rRNA from 1 species